rnacentral:siRNA from 1 species
CCAUUGAUCUUUGUUAGGCUGC